AGAGUUUGAUCAUGGCUCAGGAUGAACGCUAGCGGCAGGCCUAACACAUGCAAGUCGAGGGGUAACAGGGAAGAGCUUGCUUUUCUGCUGACGACCGGCGCACGGGUGCGGAACGCGUAUGGAACCUGCCUUUGUCAGGGGAAUAGCCCAGAGAAAUUUGGAUUAAUGCCCCAUGGUAACGGAAUAUCGCAUGAUGUUGCGUUUAAAGAUUUAUCGGACAAAGAUGGCCAUGCGUACCAUUAGUUAGUUGGUAAGGUAACGGCUUACCAAGGCAGCGAUGGUUAGGGGCCCUGAGAGGGGGAUCCCCCACACUGGUACUGAGACACGGACCAGACUCCUACGGGAGGCAGCAGUGAGGAAUAUUGGACAAUGGGCGGAAGCCUGAUCCAGCCAUGCCGCGUGCAGGAUGACUGCCCUAUGGGUUGUAAACUGCUUUUAUACGGGAAGAAACGCACCUACGUGUAGGUGUCUGACGGUACCGUAAGAAUAAGGACCGGCUAACUCCGUGCCAGCAGCCGCGGUAAUACGGAGGGUCCGAGCGUUAUCCGGAAUCAUUGGGUUUAAAGGGUCCGUACGC
rnacentral:rRNA from 1 species